AUGGAGGAGAGACUGGGAAAAAUCUGCAAAAAGCAGGGAGAGCCGACUGGCUCAGUGGAAGUGAAGAAGUUCCAACUCCUUGACAGUGUGGACGAGAGAAUAUGUAGAGACCUGCGCCUGCCAACAUACAACAGUGCUGAUGAAAUAUUUAGAGUACUUCAAAACAGGUAUGGAGAUAAGCCAACAAUUGCCUUGGAGAUAAUUGAGGACCUGGAGAGGAACCUUCCUUUAAAGUCACACCAGCCAAGGAAGGUAAUUGACCUAAUUCAAGCUGUGGAAAAGGCCCUGAAUGACCUCACGGAGCUCGAAAGUACUGGAGCCAUAAAAAAUCCCCUUGUGAUCAGAUCCAUAGAGAGCAAGCUGCCAGAUAAUAUAAAGAGGGACUGGCUGACUUUCAUGGUCAAUCCAAGAAAUGGAGUCACACUUGACAAUCACUUUGACAUCCUUCUAACAUUCUUAAAGACAGAAGAGGACAUUCUAGAGAAACUAGACCAAUUGGGUGUAGGUGAAAAACCUGAAAAGAAAGCCACAUACCUGGAGAAAAGGUAUGCCUCGACAAAGUCCACGAGGAAAGGAGGAUGUGUUGUCUGUGGAGAUGAAAAGCACCGUGAGAAGAUAUUCUUUUGUAAGCAGUUCAAAGAACUAAAGCCUGGUGAGAAGCUGAAUGCUGUCGAAAGGCUGGGAGCAUGCAGAAGAUGCCUCAGAUGUCAUUCAGAGGAUGAUGAAUGUACGGACACAUACCUGUGCAGGAACAGAGACUGCAGGAGAGGAAGCUCUUCAGAUCACCAUUUCUUUCUCUGCCUGAAAGGAGGAUUCAAGGGGAAAGAAUCUGUGAAAGUGGGAAAACCCAGCACUAGGAGGCAAACAUUCACAGAGGAGCAAGAGGAAUUAAUAUCUGAGCUUACCCCGGAUAUGGCAGAAAAAUUCAGGAGAGCCUUCACCAACAUGGCUGCAAAAUCACAUUGCACUGGAAGAAGCCUUCCUGGAGUGAUGGACUCAAGCACACAUGAGUUACCAGUUAUUCUUAUGCUUCUCGAAGUAACCACCAACGCAGGACAGAAAACUGGAACUCUCAUUGACUUAGCAUCAGAUACCAACUACAUCACUCAUAUAGCUGCCAGGAGACUGAAGCUUCAAAGUGAAAAGAUCACGCUUGUCGUCCAUGGAGUUGGAGGCAUGGCCAUGAAGGUAAAGACCAAAAGAUACUUACUCAAGGUAAGAGUCAAGACACCUAGAGGCACGGAGAGAGCUCAUGAGCUGAUCUGUUAUGGGUUGGAUGAAAUUGCAAAAGUUCACAGAGUAAUCAAAGCACAGCAACUCAAGAAGUUCUUCCCCGAUUCCAACCUGGAAGAUCUUCACAGACCAGAACACGUGGAGCUUCUCAUAAGCCACCGUGAAGGAAGACUUGCUCCACAGAGAGUAAAGGUAGUAGGAGAUCUUGUCCUGUGGGAAAGCCCUUUAGGAAAGACCGUUGGCGGAGCACAUCCAGACCUCUGUGAAGUAGUGGACAUGGCCUUGCACAAUUCUGAGACUCACUUUGCACGAUCGAUGAGAAUCACAGCAGUGAAGUAUCAAGAAAUUGCUGAGAUGCAAGAAUCUAGAGCUGAAACCAAAACCACUGUUAUUGGCAGAGAGUUCUUGGACUGGUGGAAGUGGGACAGCAUUGGUGCGGCCUGCGAACCCAAGUGUGGAGGAUGCCGGUGUGGUAACUGUCAACCAGGAGGCAAAGACAUGACUCUGAGUGAAGAAAAAGAGCUUGAGAUGAUCAGGCAAGGCCUCAGUUAUAUGAAGUCAGAUGCGCAUAGUCAGGAGCCUCAUUGGGACACAAAAUACCCCUGGAUUGAGGAUCCAAGUUCCCUGCCCAACAACAGAAGCGCAGUGGAAACCACGUUUCUGAGGACGGAGAAACAGCUCAAGAAAGAACCAGAGUGGCGUGCAGCAUACACAGCUCAAGUCCACGAGAUGGUGGAAAGGAAGGCAGCAAAGAAACUCACUAGAGAGACCAUUGCUGACUGGAAAGGACCAGUAUGGUACGUCAGUCAUUUGGUGGCGCCAAACCCACACUCUGUAACAACACCUGUCCGACUGGUAUGGAACAGCAGCCAGAAGUUUAGAGGAAUCAGCAUGAAUGACCUUCUCCUGAAAGGGCCGGAUAUACUUAAUCCCAUCCGAGCAGUGCUACUAAGGUUCAGGAGAGGAGUCCAUGCUGCCCUCGGCGACAUCAAGAAGAUGUACAAUUCUGUGUGGCUUGAAGACCUGGAGAUGCACCUCCAUAGAUUUAUCUGGAGAAACAGUGAAGAUGAAGAAAUUGAGGAAUAUGCCAUCACCAGGGUCAACAUUGGCGAUCUACCAGCAGGGUGCAUAGCGCAACGGCCAUGA
ensembl:lncRNA